rnacentral:rRNA from 1 species
AACACAUGCAAGUCGAACGACUACAUGGUGGCCUGCACUGGUGAUUAGUGGCGAACGAGUGAGUAACACGUGAGUAACCUGCCAUUAACUCUGGGAUAAGCCUGGGAAACUGGGUCUAAUACUGGAUAUGACUCCUCAUCGCAUGGUGGGGGGUGGAAAGCUUUAUUGUGGUUUUGGAUGGACUCGCGGCCUAUCAGCUUGUUGGUGAGGUAAUGGCUCACCAAGGCGACGACGGGUAGCCGGCCUGAGAGGGUGACCGGCCACACUGGGAUUGAGACACGGCCCAGACUCCUACGGGAGGCAGCAGUGGGGAAUAUUGCCCAAUGGGCGAAAGCCUGAUGCAGCGACGCCGCGUGAGGGAUGACGGCCUUCGGGUUGUAAACCUCUUUCAGUAGGGAAGAAGCGAAAGUGACGGUACCUGCAGAAGAAGCGCCGGCUAACUACGUGCCAGCAGCCGCGGUAAUACGUAGGGCGCAAGCGUUAUCCGGAAUUAUUGGGCGUAAAGAGCUCGUAGGCGGUUUGUCGCGUCUGCCGUGAAAGUCCGGGGCUCAACUCCGGAUCUGCGGUGGGUACGGGCAGACUAGAGUGAUGUAGGGGAGACUGGAAUUCCUGGUGUAGCGGUGAAAUGCGCAGAUAUCAGGAGGAACACCGAUGGCGAAGGCAGGUCUCUGGGCAUUAACUGACGCUGAGGAGCGAAAGCAUGGGGAGCGAACAGGAUUAGAUACCCUGGUAGUCCAUGCCGUAAACGUUGGGCACUAGGUGUGGGGGACAUUCCACGUCUUCCGCGCCGUAGCUAACGCACUAAGUGCCCCG